rfam:Amazona aestiva scaffold_2029, whole genome shotgun sequence.
UAGGCAGAGGUCUGUUGGUUUGGACGCCUAGCUGUUAACUAGGAGUGUUGUGGGGUCAAAGCCCACCUGCCUAG